rnacentral:lncRNA from 1 species
UUGUCUCUACAUAAUUCAAGUCCAAUUUUCAAGGUUGUUGCUUCUGCAAUGUUGUUUGUGUUGUGGCCUAAUUGGACAACAAAGGCUCCAAGUAUCUUGCCUUGUGAGUUUCUUAUUCCACCACCACAACUCAGGUCGGGGUUUCCUUUUGAGCACCCGUCAUAUUUAAUUUCAUCCAUCCCUCUCUAGGAGGUAUCUAUUUAACCAUAGUAGUAGAAAAUGCGGGUGUGGCCUUCUCUAGUAGAUCAAAA